AUACGACAUGGGAGCUAUGACUUUGAAUCCGUAUCUGGGCACUUGGAUUCAACGAGCCAGUAGUGCAACCGACCAUCUUCCUU
rnacentral:ncRNA from 2 species